CCAGAAAUUCCUGCACUGUCCCGAGUGGCUGUGUGCGAGCCAGCACCUGGUGAAAGGGGCCUUUCCAUGUACCUUAUCGUGGAAGAGAAAGAGGGAACUGUCCCUGAACCUGCGGAUCUCUAUGAUUUACCGACUGAAAGAAAAGAGUUGUUUUAAUGUGCACUUACUUCUCUCAUUAUGGGGGAUUUUGGAGCAUUUUGUCAUAGGGCUAUUGGAAGGAAAAAAAAAUUGAGCACAACUGAUUGAUGCAUGUGGAAAAGGUGUGCAGUAUGUCACAUCUGUGAACCUCUCACGUCCUGAACAGGGUGAUGGUGUCUUCUCAUGUUUCCUUUUUCAGUCCCACUUGAUCUUUAACAUUUUG